AAAUUCUAAUUAGAUACAGAUAUAAAAUAAUAUUUCCAGUGCCUCUGACUCCAUCCAGGAGUUUCCCUGGAAGAUGUGGAAAUAGGCCUGGCCCAGGGAGCCUCUGAGUUUCCUCCAGAUAAUCUGAAUUUCCCCCAGGGUUUGCUGCACUGGUUGAUCCUGGACUAUUUUAAAUCCAUUUCUAGGAAUUUAAACCAAAUUCCCUGCAGGUUUUUUCAGCAAGAAUAAACAGAGAGGAGUGGUGGCCUUCGAAAAGUCAAUUUUUCAUCACAGGGAUUUUUGGGAACAGUUCCUGGCACAUCCCUGUUGGUACCUGAGGUUUUGAGCUCCAUCUGCUGACCUGCUGUUUACCCCUCCCAGUCUCCCAGAAUUCAGGAUGAAUUUAUUCACCAAGAGAAGCCUUUGCUCAGAAGAGCUGCUCAGACAAGUUCAUUCCUGGCAGAUUUCGGGGUGUUUGUCUCUCCACAAAAGCAGAUCUGUGUUUGCUCUGCUCAGGCCCUGCCUGACUGCACUUCCUGUGUCUCCUGCAGACUGGAUUUCAUCACAGAUUUACUUUUUCUGAGUUACCUGUGAGGGACCAUGGAGGAACACAAGGCAGGGGCUGAUUUCUCUCCCACUGUUAUCCCAGAAUUGUUCACAUCCUGAUUUCUGCCUGAUGUGGAGCUGCCCCUGGAGCUGGCAAUGGAUUCAUUUCCCCUCUCUCUGUGUGUGUUUCUUUCUGAGCACCUUCCUUAUGGUUUUUGUAGAUUUAAAUUUAUUUUUUUUCAAGAUUCUGUGCCAGAAAUUCAGCUGCAGGAAAAUCAGGGGAUCAUUUAUCCCUCACUGAUUUGGCAUUGACCUUGCUUCCCUCUCCCUAGGCUCAAAUAAAGCCAAUACACUGAAUUAUCCCUGAUAAUUCAGGUUCUGCA